rnacentral:tRNA from 2 species
AAGAGAGAGGCAUAUUUGGUAUUGCGGCUGGCUUGAACCCAGUUGUUGGGGGUUCGAGUCCUCCCUUUCUUG